rfam:Photobacterium aquae strain CGMCC 1.12159 contig0011, whole genome shotgun sequence.
UGAGUUGGCCAGGUAACCGCUGCUUCGUUGAUGUCCCUUGGGAGACUGGCGAAGGGGAGGAAAGUCCGGGCUCCAUAGGGCAGGGUGCCAGAUAACGUCUGGGGGGCGCGAGCCUACGACCAGUGCAGCAGAGAGCAAACCGCCGAUGGCCCGUUUUUCGGAACGGUGCACAGGUAAGGGUGAAAGGGUGCGGUAAGAGCGCACCGCGCGGCUAGCAAUAGUUCGUGGCACGGUAAACUCCACCCGGAGCAAGACCAAAUAGGUCCCUAAUGGCGUGGCCCGCGUUGGGGACGGGUAGGUUGCUUGAGCCUGUGAGCGAUUGCAGGCCUAGAAGAAUGGUUACCACCGCGCAAGCGGAUACAAAACCCGGCUUAUCGGCCAACUCACCCC